rnacentral:rRNA from 1 species
UACGUAGGGGGCUAGCGUUGUCCGGAAUCAUUGGGCGUAAAGCGCGUGUAGGCGGCCCGGUAAGUCCGCUGUGAAAGUCGGGGGCUCAACCCUCGAAUGCCGGUGGAUACUGUCGGGCUUGAGUACGGAAGAGGCGAGUGGAAUUCCUGGUGUAGCGGUGAAAUGCGCAGAUAUCAGGAGGAACACCAAUUACGAAGGCAGCUCGCUGGGACGUUACUGACGCUGAGACGCGAAAGCGUGGGGAGCAAACAGG